rnacentral:piRNA from 1 species
UAGUUGGUGUUAAUAUUCAAAAAUUAACCAG